GACGAACGCUGGCGGCGUGGAUUAGGCAUGCAAGUCGAACGGUAUCAUCCUUUCGGGGGUGAGAGAGUGGCGAACUGGUGAGUAACACGUAGGUUAUCUACCCUCAAGACGGGGACAACCCAGGGAAACUUGGGCUAAUACCGGAUGUGAGCAACUUUUAGUUGUUUGAAGGGUGGCGUAAGCUGUCGCUUGGGGAUGAGCCUGCGUCCUAUUAGUUAGUUGGUGAGGUAACGGCUCACCUAGGCAAUGAUAGGUAGGCGGCCUUAACGGGUGGUCGCCCACACUGGGAUUGAGAUACGGCCCAGACUCCUACGGGAGGCAGCAGUCGAGAAUAGUCUACAAUGGUCGGAAGACUGAUAGUGCGACGCCGCGUGAACGAUGAAUCCCUUCGGGGUGUAAAGUUCUUUUAUAUGUGAGCAGUGCUUCUUAUAUUAACAGUAUGGGGAGAGAGAUAUUAGCAUAUGAAUAAGCAACGGCUAACUCCGUGCCAGCAGCCGCGGU
rnacentral:rRNA from 1 species